rnacentral:rRNA from 1 species
UGUGAACUCGAAGAGUAGGGCGGGACACGUGGUAUCCUGUCUGAAUAUGGGGGGACCAUCCUCCAAGGCUAAAUACUCCUGACUGACCGAUAGUGAACCAGUACCGUGAGGGAAAGGCGAAAAGAACCCCGGCGAGGGGAGUGAAAAAGAACCUGAAACCGUGUACGUACAAGCAGUGGGAGCACCUUCGGGUGUGACUGCGUACCUUUUGUAUAAUGGGUCAGCGACUUAUAUUCUGUAGCAAGGUUAACCGUAUAGGGGAGCCGCAGGGAAACCGAGUCUUAACUGGGCGUUAAGUUGCAGGGUAUAGACCCGAAACCCGGUGAUCUAGCCAUGGGCAGGUUGAAGGUUGGGUAACACUAACUGGAGGACCGAACCGACUAAUGUUGAAAAAUUAGCGGAUGACUUGUGGCUGGGGGUGAAAGGCCAAUCAAACCGGGAGAUAGCUGGUUCUCCCCGAAAGCUAUUUAGGUAGCGCCUCGUGAACUCAUCUUCGGGGGUAGAGCACUGUUUCGGCUAGGGGGUCAUCCCGACUUACCAACCCGAUGCAAACUACGAAUACCGAAGAAUGUUAUCACGGGAGACACACGGCGGGUGCUAACGUCCGUCGUGAAGAGGGAAACAACCCAGACCGCCAGCUAAGGUCCCAAAGUCAUGGUUAAGUGGGAAACGAUGUGGGAAGGCACAGACAGCCAGGAUGUUGGCUUAGAAGCAGCCAUCAUUUAAAGAAAGCGUAAUAGCUCACUGGUCGAGUCGGCCUGCGCGGAAGAUGUAACGGGGCUAAACCAUGCACCGAAGCUGCGGCAGCGACACUAUGUGUUGUUGGGUAGGGGAGCGUUCUGUAAGCCUGCGAAGGUGUGCUGUGAGGCAUGCUGGAGGUAUCAGAAGUGCGAAUGCUGACAUAAGUAACGAUAAAGCGGGUGAAAAGCCCGCUCGCCGGAAGACCAAGGGUUCCUGUCCAACGUUAAUCGGGGCAGGGUGAGUCGACCCCUAAGGCGAGGCCGAAAGGCGUAGUCGAUGGGAAACAGGUUAAUAUUCCUGUACUUGGUGUUACUGCGAAGGGGGGACGGAGAAGGCUAUGUUAGCCGGGCGACGGUUGUCCCGGUUUAAGCAUGUAGGCUGGUUAUCCAGGCAAAUCCGGAUAAUCAAGGCUGAGGUGUGAUGACGAGGCACUACGGUGCUGAAGUAACAAAUGCCCUGCUUCCAGGAAAAGCCUCUAAGCAUCAGGUAACAUCAAAUCGUACCCCAAACCGACACAGGUGGUCAGGUAGAGAAUACCAAGGCGCUUGAGAGAACUCGGGUGAAGGAACUAGGCAAAAUGGUGCCGUAACUUCGGGAGAAGGCACGCUGGUGUGUAGGUGAAGUCCCUGCGGAUGGAGCUGAGACCAGUCGAAGAUACCAGCUGGCUGCAACUGUUUAUUAAAAACACAGCACUGUGCAAACACGAAAGUGGACGUAUACGGUGUGACGCCUGCCCGGUGCCGGAAGGUUAAUUGAUGGGGUUAUCCGUAAGGAGAAGCUCUUGAUCGAAGCCCCGGUAAACGGCGGCCGUAACUAUAACGGUCCUAAGGUAGCGAAAUUCCUUGUCGGGUAAGUUCCGACCUGCACGAAUGGCGUAAUGAUGGCCAGGCUGUCUCCACCCGAGACUCAGUGAAAUUGAACUCGCUGUGAAGAUGCAGUGUACCCGCGGCAAGACGGAAAGACCCCGUGAACCUUUACUAUAGCUUGACACUGAACAUUGAGCCUUGAUGUGUAGGAUAGGUGGGAGGCUUUGAAGCGUGGACGCCAGUCUGCGUGGAGCCAACCUUGAAAUACCACCCUUUAAUGUUUGAUGUUCUAACGUUGGCCCCUGACCGGGGUUGCGGACAGUGUCUGGUGGGUAGUUUGACUGGGGCGGUCUCCUCCCAAAGCGUAACGGAGGAGCACGAAGGUUAGCUAAUCCUGGUCGGACAUCAGGAGGUUAGUGCAAUGGCAUAAGCUAGCUUGACUGCGAGCGUGACGGCGCGAGCAGGUGCGAAAGCAGGUCAUAGUGAUCCGGUGGUUCUGAAUGGAAGGGCCAUCGCUCAACGGAUAAAAGGUACUCCGGGGAUAACAGGCUGAUACCGCCCAAGAGUUCAUAUCGACGGCGGUGUUUGGCACCUCGAUGUCGGCUCAUCACAUCCUGGGGCUGAAGUAGGUCCCAAGGGUAUGGCUGUUCGCCAUUUAAAGUGGUACGCGAGCUGGGUUUAGAACGUCGUGAGACAGUUCGGUCCCUAUCUGCCGUGGGCGCUGGAGAAUUGAGGGGGGCUGCUCCUAGUACGAGAGGACCGGAGUGGACGCAUCACUGGUGUUCGGGUUGUCAUGCCAAUGGCACUGCCCGGUAGCUAAAUGCGGAAGAGAUAAGUGCUGAAAGCAUCUAAGCACGAAACUUGCCCCGAGAUGAGUUCUCCCUGAGACUUUAAGUCUCCUGAAGGAACGUUAAAGACGAUGACGUUGAUAGGCCGGGUGUGUAAGCGCAGCGAUGCGUUGAGCUAACCGGUACUAAUGAACCGUGAGGCUUAACCUUACAACGCCGAAG